GACAAACGCUGGCGGCGUGCCUAAUACAUGCAAGUCGAACGACGAAAGCCUUCGGGCAAGUAAGAGUGGCGCACGGGCGAGGAACACGUAGAUAAUCUGCCCUUCAGUGGGGAAUAACCCUCCGUAAGGAGUGCUAAUACCGCAUAAGACCACAAGCUCUGCGGAGCAAGGGGUUAAAGGAUUUAUUCGCUGAAGGAUGAGUCUGCGUCCGAUUAGCUAGUUGGUGAGGUAAUGGCUUACCCAGGCAAUGAUCGGUAGAUGGUCUGAGAGGAUGAUCAUCCGCACUGGAACUGAGACACGGUCCAGACUCCUACGGGAGGCAGCAGUAGGGAAUAUUGCACAAUGGGGGAAACCCUGAUGCAGCAACGCCGCGUGAGUGAUGAAGGCUCUAGGGUCGUAAAGCUCUGUCGUAUGGGAAGAAAAAAAUGACGGUACCAUACAAGAAAGGACCGGCCAACUUCGUGCCAGCCGCCGCCGUAA
rnacentral:rRNA from 1 species